UACAACUUUCAACAACGGAUCUCUUGGCUCUCGCAUCGAUGAAGAACGCAGCGAAAUGCGAUAAGUAAUGUGAAUUGCAGAAUUCAGUGAAUCAUCGAAUCUUUGAACGCACCUUGCGCUCCUUGGCAUUCUGAGGAGCAUGCCUGUUUGAGUGUCAUUAA
rnacentral:rRNA from 1 species